rnacentral:piRNA from 1 species
UGGAAAGCAGUGAUAAGCAUCCCAUAGCCA